AGCCCAUGACAAGGCCAAAUCAUUUCUCCUCGACCAGUGCUCCGCGCCGCCGCUGCCACACUCGUCGGACUCCUCGCCGCCGACCUGCAAAAGAGAGCUGCAGAGCCAGGGUUCGAUGUAGCCUGGCGCCGCCCCGCACGCUCGCGCCUCGCUUCUCUCUCAGCGCCGCAAUGCCGCUGUUCUAAUCAAGCACGCGCGCGCGCGCAACAGCUGCCGAGUUGCCUGACGAGGCCACGCUGGUGGAGACGCAUCGGCACACUCGUUCGCAUCCGCAUCCGUGGACACGUAAACGUCGAACCCCAAGUACACGGAGGAGUUACGUGGUGAGGUCGACCCUCAACUGGAAGACCAGAUGGAGAGUGGGAUACUAGGCAAGUCAUAUUUCUUUAUCCAUGCUGAUCCUACAUGCCACAUGAAAAAUAUUUACUAUAGCUUGAUAAUUCAUAUUCCUGGAUGCUUUUUAUUUACCAGCUUAAUUUUGAAUGACAUACAAUUAGCUUAUGCCUAACACCGAUAAGCCUGAUUGCUUCCAUAUGUAUUUACUAA